CUAAGGCGAGGCCGACAGGCGUAGUCGAUGGACAACCAGUUGAUAUUCUGGUACCCGGAUGGAAGCGCCCGUGGUGAAUCAGUGAUACUAACCGCCCUGAAGCCUGAUGGCAGUCUUUUGGAUUGUUGUUGGUGUGGAUGCGUGGGAUCUGAUCUGGUAGUAGCCAAGCGAUGGUGUGACACAGGAAGGUAGCCGAGCCACUGAGUGGAUUGUGGUGUAAGCGUGUAGCCCGCAUGGUAGGUAAAUCCGCUGUGCAUGGUGGGUGAGGCGUGAUGCGUACCCCUUUUGUUGGGGGAUGUUGGUGAUCCUAUGCUGUCGAGAAAAGCAUCUAGCGAUGUUUCCAUCUGGCCCGUACCCCAAACCGACACAGGUGGUCAGGUAGAGAAUACUAAGGCGAUCGGGUGAACUGUGGUUAAGGAACUCGGCAAAAUGCCCCCGUAACUUCGGGAGAAGGGGGACCACUGCUGGUGACAGACUGGUUUUGAGCUGGUGGUGGUCGCAGAGAAUAGAGGGAAGCGACUGUUUACUAAAAACACAGGUCCAUGCGAAGACGAUAAGUCGAUGUAUAUGGACUGACGCCUGCCCGGUGCUGGAAGGUUAAGAGGACCUGUUAGUCACUUUGGUGGCGAAGCGGAGAAUUUAAGCCCCAGUAAACGGCGGUGGUAACUAUAACCAUCCUAAGGUAGCGAAAUUCCUUGUCGGGUAAGUUCCGACCUGCACGAAUGGCGUAACGACUUCCCUGCUGUCUCAACCACAGGCCCGGCGAAAUUGCAGUACGAGUAAAGAUGCUCGUUACGCGCGGCAGGACGAAAAGACCCCGGGACCUUCACUAUAGCUUGGUAUUGAUAUUCGGUUCGGUUUGUGUAGGAUAGGUGGGAGACUGUGAUCACAUGACGCCAGUUGUGUGGGAGUCGUUGUUGAAAUACCACUCUGGUCGUAUUGGAUAUCUUAACCUCGGCCCAUGAUCUGGGUUAGGGACAGUGCCUGGUGGGUAGUUUAACUGGGGCGGUUGCCUCCUAAAGAGUAACGGAGGCGCCCAAAGGUUUCCUCAGCCUGGUUGGCAAUCAGGUGGUGAGUGUAAGUGCACAAGGGAGCUUGACUGUGAGACUGACAGGUCGAGCAGGUACGAAAGUAGGGACUAGUGAUCCGGCACUGGCUUGUGGAAGCGGUGUCGCUCAACGGAUAAAAGGUACCCCGGGGAUAACAGGCUGAUCUUCCCCAAGAGUCCAUAUCGACGGGAUGGUUUGGCACCUCGAUGUCGGCUCGUCGCAUCCUGGGGCUGGAGUAGGUCCCAAGGGUUGGGCUGUUCGCCCAUUAAAGCGGCACGCGAGCUGGGUUUAGAACGUCGUGAGACAGUUCGGUCUCUAUCCGCCGCGCGCGUAGAAACUUGAGAAAGGCUGUCCCUAGUACGAGAGGACCGGGACGGACGUACCUCUAGUGUGCCAGUUGUCACGCCCGUGGCAUGGCUGGUUGGCUACGUACGGAAGGGAUAACCGCUGAAAGCAUCUAAGCGGGAAGCCUGUUUCGAGAUAAGGUUUCGUGAUCAGGUGCCCUCUAGACUAGGGGGUUGAUAGGCCAGAGCUGGAAGCGUAGUAAUGCGUGUUGAGGUGACUGGUACUAAUGCGCCGAACACACCCAAUA
rnacentral:rRNA from 1 species